rnacentral:misc_RNA from 1 species
UCAAACUUGGUCAUUUAGAGGAAGUAAAAGUCGUAACAAGGUUUCCGUAGGUGAACCUGCGGAAGGAUCAUUAUCGAAAUCGAAGGGCGUAGGAAGGGAACGUCGGGCGAGGGGACUGUCGCUGGCCUUGGGCAUCGUGCACGUCCUCUCUGCCCUUCUGACCCUCCGAAGCUCUUUCAACCUUUUCCACACCGUGUGCACCCUCUGUAGGUCCUUCGGGACCUAUGUUUUUCUCCCACAAACACGCAUGUCCAUAGAAUGUCUCAGUCGUGUCCGUCGAUCAGACCCUCAGGGUCUGCGUCGGCGACCUUCUAAACCUCGUACAACUUUCAGCAAUGGAUCUCUUGGCUCUCGCAUCGAUGAAGAACGCAGC